UCACAGGGAGGUACGCGGGUAUCAGAUCUUGAAUGAAAUUAAAGUCUUAUUUCCACUUGCGGUCCAAUUUAACCCAUCCAUUCCAUUUACAAUAUUUGUGCAAAACACACUGCCAUGUCAUGCUCAGUGUCAUUUGAAUACUAAUAUACAGGUUGACUGACAACGGCAGAAAUAAGACACCAUAUGAAAAUCUAUUGCAUUCAUCAGAGAAAAGCUCUGACAUAAAUGGAUUUCAAAGGAGAGAGAGGGAGAGAGUAUGCACAGGCCUACCUCCCCUCAUUGCUCCUGGGGAGGAUGGACAAGGUUGGGGUAUACUGGGUCCGACUCCGUGGGUAGUGCUUAGGGUUGUUGCGGUGACUAUUAUUGGACCAUGCUGGUCAUUUAUGAACAUUUGAACAUCUUGGCCAUGUUCUGUUAUUAUCUCUACCCGGCACAGCCAGAAGAGGACUGGCCACCCCAUAUAGCCUGGUUCCUCUAGGUUUCUUCCUAGGUUUUGGUCUUUCUAGGGAGUUUUUCCUAGCCACCGUGCUUCUACACCUGCAUUGCUUGCUGUUUUGGGUUUUAGGCUGGGUUUCUGUACAGCACUUUGAGAUAUCAGCUGAUGUACGAAGGGCUUUAAUAAAUACAUUUGAUUGGACUGUAUUACCGCAACACCGGCGGUCACGAGUCAAAUUCCACGUGACCGUUUAGUCACGGAAACUAGGCUUCUCCAAGUGCUGAUGCUGCCGAUAGUCAUUAGUAGCCUACCAAACCUGCUAACUGCCUAGUAGUCAGCACUCUUGUCAAUCUAAUCACUAUGACAAUGCAAAUCUAAUCAAAAUUGAAUAAAACAAUUAAUGAGAGCCCAUGAGCUCACGUGGCACAACAUUUCUAUAGGCUAGCUAUGCAAUUGAGUGAGAAAACAGGUUGGGGCUACAAUAUGCAUUUAUCAACUUUCCUAAUAUUAAGCACAUUGCUUUGCAACAGGCGUAUUGUAUUCCUGGCAGCAUUCAAAUGAAAAAGCUCCUCAAUUUGCUAUUUAAGUGCAUAGAUGAGAUGUAUUUUUUUCCACCUGCCCCUGUUCUGAGACAGGUGUGUGAUAACAGUCCAUUCUAAAUCAAAACUAAUUUCACAAAUAUAUUAUUUAGUAUAUGUAAAGGCAAGAUUAAAUUAAGAAUAGUCUGAUGGGGGACAACAUUAGCCGAUCACUUGUGAAUGAUGCCCAGCUUGCGUGCAAUAAGGCACGAAACAGAUCAUAUAUUUUAUUUGCGACUUUUUCAUAUAGUCGCACACCUCAUGAAGCCUAGCCCAGAGGCCUAUUUGUUUUGAUAAGGUUUGUAUCACAACUAAAGUGGCCAAAUAACUUCUUAAAAUUAAGCAGAUUCAUCCAAUUUACAACCGAUGUAGAGCCUAACUGGCGUAUCCUGCUUAUAGCCUACUGCCGUGUGCGCAUUGCUGCGCUUAUAAUGUGAAGAAAUAGCCUAAUAGUUUACCAACAUUUUCAACUAAACGUUCUGAUCUGUUGCAGCAGCUUUGUUGCUUGUAAACAGUUUUUUGAUGCAAGUGGUUGUAUUAAUAUGGGAUCUAUCGCAUCCCACAACUGUCCCAGACUAUGUUUGGAAUAUUUAUCUCACACAGAAGGACAAUAGGAUGUCAACUUCUGUACUAUGGGGGAUAGUAGAUUGACAGGCUAUUGUGUUUGCUGUUCGUUAGACCUACUCAUCUUGUUGGCUGACAAAAAGAUUGACAUUUCUUCUAACAUCUUCAAUAUGCGCCUCAGAAUUAGGUAAGGAAGCACGCAGUUGCGUCCCUGAUGUGUCUGUCUUCUCUUGUAGCCUGCUUCAGAGCUGAGAUGCCUGUGAGAAGGACCCGAUCAUGUGACAGGCAUUGGCUAAUAAGAGUUGUGAGUGAGAGGUGCUUCAGUGCACGGCGAUUGGCUGCCAGGAGAAGGGAAUUAUAAUUAUUAUAUUCAGCUCAAGGGCACAACGGCCAUUGCUCCCAAAAGGCAUGGAUUUUUUUGUGUGCAUUGCUGCCGUGCAAAUUCUAGGUAUUAUCAUGUGCUAAUUAUCAUGUGCUUGUCAAAUUGUGAAUGAGAGACUGAUGGAGUGUGCAGCCUGUGCAAGAAACAAUACAGAUCUCAAAUCAUCAUCAUUAGAGUCACAACAUGCAGCCUUAGAAUGUAUCAAACAUCUUAACAUAUAGCCCAACUUUGUAUCACAAAUAAAGUUGCAUAAAUAACUCCAAAUUAAGCAAAUAGGAGGACCUGUUUGUAGGUUAAUCGCAUGUGCACACUCACUCAGAAAUUGUUUGGAGAAAUUAUAAUUUAGAUUUUAUUCAGCUAUGUUUAAUUGUAUUCUUCAUACUAUAAAAAACUAUAAAAUAAUGCAACGGAAUUCAAAGCAAAUGUUGCCUGUUAAAUGAACUAGUGUAGCCCACAGCCGUAUGGCAUUACCAGAUCAGGGCCUAACAUAAGGACAACUCAGAGUAUGCUAUUCUGUUCUUCUGAAAUAGACUACAUUUUCUUCAUAUCAUGUUUCCUUAAACCUGUCAAAUUCAUCCUGGAUUUAUUGUGAAAGUGUAGGCUGUAUUACAUGGAUUUAUUGUGAAGGUGUAGGCUGUAUUACAUGGAUUUAUUGUGAAAGUGUAGGCUGUAUUACAUGGAUUUAUUGUGAAGGUGUAGGCUGUAUUACAUGGAUUUAUUGUGAAGGUGUAGGCUGUAUUACAUGGAUUUAUUGUGAAGGUGUAGGCUGUAUUACAUGGAUUUAUUGUGAAGGUGUAGGCUGUAUUACAUGGAUUUAUUGUGAAGGUGUAGGCUGUAUUACAUGGAUUUAUUGUGAAGGUGUAGGCUGUAUUACAUGGAUUUAUUGUGAAAGUGUAGGCUGUAUUACAUGGAUUUAUUGUGAAGGUGUAGGCUGUAUUACAUGGAUUUAUUGUGAAGGUGUAGGCUGUAUUAUAUGGAUUUAUUGUGAAGGUGUAGGCUGUAUUACAUGGAUUUAUUGUGAAGGUGUAGGCUGUAUUACAUGGAUUUAUUGUGAAGGUGUAGGCUGUAUUACAUGGAUUUAUUGUGAAGGUGUAGGCUGUAUUACAUGGAUUUAUUGUGAAGGUGUAGGCUGUAUUACAUGGAUUUUAUUGUGAAGGUGUAGGCUGUAUUACAUGGAUUUAUUGUGAAGGUGUAGGCUGUAUUACAUGGAUUUAUUGUGAAGGUGUAGGCUGUAUUAUAUGGAUUUAGACUUUUUGAAAUGUAGAUGUUCCAAAAGGUCUGCAUCAGUGGCUUGUAGGAUGUGCGUCGAGAUGCUAAAUGUGUUUGUUAAUUAACGGUCAAUUACUGUGAGACUGGCAGUUAUUUGCUUGUCAAUCACCGGCUGACAAAAUGUCAUGACCCCCACAGCCCUACUAGUGCUGAGUAGGGACAUACAGCAUUCCACCAUGUGUAUGAACCUCUGUCUUUCCAGCCCACAUCGCACCCGCUGAAGUCAAGCUUACACACUCUGACAAGCUGCGAUGUAAAGACAGAUA